rnacentral:lncRNA from 1 species
CAACACAACCUAAGACAUUGGUGCUCCAAGACACCCUCAAGACAUUUGUAUGGUACAUCUCUCAGAGGUUCAUCAAAAGAACAUCUCAUCUUGCACUAAUCCAAAUGCUUAUGUUCUAAACUUCUCUUUGUUAUUUUUUUCUUCCAGGGUAGCUGAGAUUUUAGAAUUGGAAAGCAUUGCAGGAGCAAGGAGAAACUACACAAGAAUCAGUUUUUAAACGAAUGUAUAUUAUGUAUAAUGUAUGGAAAGCUUAGUUCUAGUUUGUAGUAUCUUCUCUUUAAUUAUUUACAUCAUGUCUGAUUUGUUUUAGUUGUGAACUCCAUACACUUUUAGUAUUUGUAUGUGUUCCUAGAUUUGUUACAAAGGAUGCUAAUUGUGAGAAUGGAUUUCUACGAAUGCAAUUGGUG